rnacentral:rRNA from 2 species
AGCUCCAAUAGCGUAUAUUAAAGUUGUUGCAGUUAAAAAGCUCGUAGUUGGAUUUCUGGCUAGGUGAAGCGUUCCCCAAGUUGGGUGCGAUGCGGCGCCUUGCCAUCCUUCUGUUAACCUGGGAAGCCUUAACGGCGGCCCACGGGGCUCAGAUAUUUUACCUUGAGAAAAUUAGAGUGUUUCAGGCAGGCUAGCGCCGGAAUACAUUAGCAUGGAAUAAUAGAAUAGGACUUCUGCCUCUUCUGUUGGUCUGAGGGGUUCAAGUAAUGAUUAAUAGGGAUAGUUGGGGGCAUUAGUACUUAACUGUCAGAGGUGAAAUUCUCGGAUUUGUUAAAGACUAACUUAUGCGAAAGCAUUUGCCAAGGAUGUUUUCAUUA